rnacentral:pre_miRNA from 1 species
CCUUGUUCCAAUUGGGCUGUGAAAGGCUACACAGGGGACCUUUGUCUUUGUGGUGUUUCAUGGCCAGGAGUUG